rnacentral:lncRNA from 1 species
AGUAAAUGUGAGCUGAGCCCUAAAUGAAAGCGCGCUCAAACCCUUGGGACUGUUCCGUUCCGAGUCAACAUAUUCCCUCUCUAUAAACGUAUUAGGAUUGGGUUUGAUGUUUUUUUGUAACCACCUUUGGCAGACUCCCUGAACUUAAUAGGUUUAAACAAUGUUUUAAAGGUAAACAUCUAGUGGCUUGGAUAUAGAAACCUGCCCAUUUGCAAACAGACUCACUGGCAAACAGCUGGACAGACUGCCUUAUCCAGAGAAGAAUUCGAAUCCUUGGCUUCGACUUGAGCCAUUGAAAGAGAACAAGGCAUCGGUGACCAUGAAAAGCAGCCUGAAGCUAUUUUAAAGUGUUAUCGUCAAGGGUGAUUGGAGAACGCCUCCCUGGGCAGAGAAGUGAAGGAAAAAGUGAGCCAUAUGGUCGUCAGAGGUCAAGAAGAACAGCAUUCUCCGACGGGGCAACGAUGAGACCUUUGACAUGUAAUUGGAGAAAGCAAGCAAGCCAAUAGAACCGUAACAGUGUGAUCCCCAGGACAAGUGAACAUGCGGUGCGCAUGGAGAGAGAAUAGUUAUAUGGAGGUGGGGCUAUGUGGAGCCCUGAAGGUCAGGGUAAG